rnacentral:lncRNA from 1 species
UGCCGAUCCUUCCCUCUCCUUUCUCCCCACAGAGCUUCUCCUCUGCUUCCUACGGGGCUGCCCGCAGCUUUGGGGACUCCUUGCAUUCGCUGCAGACCUCUCCUUUCCCAGCAGUAAAUACUCAGCUGACAUUUGAAGGGAAGAAAAUGCUUCCUGGCGCUUUCUGGCUUUCCAUCUCCAGCGAUGACUCCCACAUUGGUUGGGAUCGGCGCAGCAGCGGCUCUGGGAUCUGCAGAGCAGAACUCCUCUGACUGGGACUGUGGUGUGGGGAGCGCUGCUGGUCUGACCUACGGCACAGAGCUUCGGCCAUCCGUCCGUCUGUCCGUCCAUCCGUCCGUCCCGUUAUUUUCUUUCCCUUUUUUACCUCGUCGGAGCGGCUCCGCUCAAACCCCGACCUCCGGCCGCGCAACGGAUCUCUGCUCCUUUGCAUCACAAAGCACUGCCGGGAUGGGGCGGGGGGGGGAGGGGGAGAUAUGAGGGGUGAAACGGAGCUCACAGUGACCCCAUUGCCGAGCAAAAGGAGGAGGUGAGGAGCCCCAUUGCGACCCCCCCACACCCCUCUGGCAAAAUGCAGACUGGAAGCUGCACGCAGAGCACUCAGUGCUCCCAACGGGACGGAUCCGAUUCACCCCAAUCCCCCCCCCCCCAAAAAAAAGGGCUGCUGUGAAUCCAAACGGUGCUUUUUUCCCAUCCGUCGGCUGCAAAAAUUCAAGGAAAAAUAAACAGUUGGUGCAUUUUUGCAACCGAA